CGGGGUGAGUAAUGUCUGGGAAACUGCCUGAUGGAGGGGGAUAACUGCUGGAAACGGUAGCUAAUACCGCAUAACGUCGCAAGACCAAAGAGGGGGACCUUCGGGCCUCUUGCCAUCGGAUGUGCCCAGAUGGGAUUAGCUAGUAGGUGGGGUAACGGCUCACCUAGGCGACGAUCCCUAGCUGGUCUGAGAGGAUGGCCAGCCACACUGGGACUGAGACACGGUCCAG
rnacentral:rRNA from 1 species